rnacentral:rRNA from 1 species
UUUUGGCCCAGAUCGUUUACCCGUAAAAAAUUAGAGUGUUCAAAGCAGGCAGAUCCAAUUUUCUGCCACCGAAUACAUUAGCAUGGGAUAAUGGAAUAGGACCCUGUCCUCCUAUUUUCAGUUGGUUUGCCGCGAGGACCAGGGUAAUGAUUAAUAGGGAUAGUUGGGGGCAUUAAUAUUUAAUUGUCAGAGGUGAAAUUCUUGGAUUUAUGAAAGAUUAACUUCUGCGAAAGCAUCUGCCAAGGAUGUUUUCAUUAAUCAAGAACGAAAGUUAGGGGAUCGAAGACGAUCAGAUACCGUCGUAGUCUUAACCAUAAACGAUGCCGACCAGCGAUUAGGAGACGUUGAAUACAAAACACCACCAUGCGCAUUGCGGUCGUCUUUGGUGUCGCUCACAAGGCGGCACCGGGGCGGCUUUUCCCCACAA